AGUAAGUCCAAAGAUGGCUACUGUCGUGCGUGGACCCGGCGGAUAAACUGUUGAAUGAGGUUUGAGAAUUCAUAACGAACAUAUUGCAUUUAUCAAAGUACUUCGCUUCAAGAGUUGAGGAUGUACAGAUGUCUGUGAUAGCAAUAGCCCAUGUGACUGAUGAAGAUUUACAUGCAUUGGGACUCAGAAAAAGGAGUGACCUUACACGUCUACGAAGAUUUUGUAUGGAAAAAGUUCAGGAGUCAGAAAACAAGGAGAGGCUGAAUGAAAAGAAGGAUCUCCUUGAAAAGAUUUUGGAGAAAAAAAAAUUGAAGAGAAGAUGUGAAAACCUUCAGUAGUUUGUUGUAAACACAAGAGAAAUAAAGGAAAAGCUCCAGAAUUUAGUGGUACAAAAAGAGUUCAACUAGGGUGGCUAGUUUGUCAGAUUACAGUGACAAACAGAAGAGGUAUGUGGCUGUCAGACAAAAUAAGGGUGGUGGUACCAGAGACAUUGUUCUGUCAAUUGAUGCAACAGCUGACAGUAUCAUUGGAACUGGAAAAGAAUUGUUCUUCCCUGGUGCUUUAAGCUCAUUUGGCAUUAUAGACACAAUGGAAUUUUAUUGGCCAGCUACGAAGAGGACACUGUUUCCAAUGUGGAUGUUGGUGGUUCAGUUUUAACCUCUAGUUUACAAAGGUAUCUGAAUUCUACUAUACUCCCCAGAGCAAGGCUGUAUUUAGUAUUAAAAGUGAAGCCGUGUGAAUCUGUGGGAGGUGGUGAUGACAGUCUACUUUAGCCAAUGUUAGAUCUCACAACCACCAGAAAGCAUUACCCUGAAGAAGACACAACAUUUGAGAAAUCCACUUUAGAAGUGUCAGCAAGUGAAUCUACUCCAGGCUUGGAUGAUGAUGAUAUUGAUUUUAAGGGCUUUUGUACUGCACAGGAAAUCAAUGAAGACAUGCCUCCACUACUUGAUUUGCUGCCACCAGUGGAAAGCUCUCCCUCAGAACAACUACUGUCUGAUGACUUGAUAAUAGAGGCCUGCAGUUCUGGAUAGAGGUUUUCUGGUCCUAGGAUGCAGUACGGACAGCUGAACCUUCCAGUCUUGCUGGAAUCACAAUGAUUGUCAAGAGAAUUUUUUGUUGAGGUAGUAAAUCAGGAGUUGGAUGGCCAGACUGACCACUCAGAGAACACCUUGUAUCAACACUUUUUUUCUGCUACAAACACAUUAAUUUAUUCAAUCACAUUAUUGAUGGCUUGCUUGUACUGUCCUAUCAGCAGACAAGCAUUUCUGGUUAACCACCUGACAACUUUUGUAUACUUAAAAAUGUACAACAAAUUGAAUAGAGGAUGGUUUUUCGUUUUGUAUGAAAAUAGUGCACAUUCAGGUGUGGGAAGAAGUGGUAGGGGAUACAUAAACUGUAGGCGAGUACAUUCAGUAGAUGUUUCUUGUUACCUCAAAAGUGCAAUUUUUUUCUAGGUGGAAAUCCAUUUUCUGUUUGGUUUGGAAUAUUGCAUACAUGUAUACAUGUAUGUACAUGUAUGUUUUAUCAAUUACUGCAAUUGAUAACAAUGGUAGCCUAUCUGUCACAAAUGUCCUGUUUUUAUUGUACCAGCUAAACUGCUAUCUAUAUCAAUGCUGAAAUGCUGUUGGGCAAACUUUAAGACCUCUACUGGCUAGUAUUCUUUUCAGCUGUCGCAAACUGAGUUCCUGGUCAUGCAGUAAGAGAAGGCAUGAGGUAAAUCUGCGUUGUUGUAUCCAAGGUUGAAGUACUACUCAAUGACUUCAUCACGAAAGUUCAAGUCCAAACGUGCCGCCAUCUUUGCCCCGUCCACCACUACAAUAACACCCAGGCUCUUUGCUUAAAAAAACUCGUCACGUAUUUCGUCACACAACUCGUCAAAUAACUUGUCAAUUAACUUGUCAAAUAACUCGUCAAAUAAUUGAGCAUUAGAAAUAAAUUUACCUUGGGCUUUGACGAUUAAUUUAAGAACUCUUUGUGCUAAUCAUUGUACAGUCCCCUCGAUAGUUUUUUUUUUUAACUAAGUGAUGGAAACAUCCAGCCUUUUUACACUCUGAUCUCCCAGAAUGUCGCGAAACAUUCGGGUCUUAUUGGUAAAUUUACAUUCGGUAAAUUCGAAAAUAAUCAUCGGAGGGCGCAUGUUUUUCCAUAUGGCUUUUGUAGAAGAGAAAUUAUAUAAGCCCACUGUAUCUUUGUUUUUGCUUUACGUCUAGAAGACAUAUCAAAACGGCC